UCCACUGUGCUUCUGAUGACCCGGCCGCCGCCGCCGCCCUGCAACCGCUCCCCGGGACCCCUCAACGCUGACACUGAUGACCCGCGGCGGGGGCGCUGGGCGCGGGGUGCGCAGGCCACUGGCCGCGGGCUCUCGGGCCCGCUCCUGCCGCCGGCUUCUGCUGCUUCCGCGUGCCGUGGACACUGCCAGAAUUUGUCAAAGGUCCUAGGAAGAAAAGGCUCUUUCACCCCUCCCCUCAAUGAACAGAUGGCGUGUUUGGACUGUUCGCAUUCGCUCCUCAUAGGGACAAAUGAAUCUCUUCCCACGCCAUGGGAUUUCCCUUGAUUUUUAUAUUGGGAGUGAAAAGAUGAAGCAUGAGACUCUUCAGCUGCAUCUCGAACUGCAUCUAAUCCCAGCACAUCUCUCUCAAUCUUUGAUUAAGUCUGUUCAUCUAAAAGAGAGACACAGGGGAAAAAUGGAAAUGGGACUUUGGAAGAAUGACCAUCCACAUUCCCAUCACAGCCUGAGAUUUCCUACCUGAUUGAGAUUUUCAGUAGAUGGCCCUAGGUCUAGUUUCCCACUUUGGACCUGCUGCCCUUGGCUCCAAUAGAGGACUUCCAAGUAACUAGGAAGAUUUCACCUCUCUUUUGAAACAUAAUGGACAAAUGUGUUUCUUUAGGAUGAGAGGUGCACCUGGCUAGUCAAUCUUUAUUUUCCUAAAAUAAACAGGAUGAAAACUCAAAACAAAAAGAAAUACCUCAUGGGCAAAAGCUCUCCCAAUACAACUAAUACAGACACUCAACAUGGCUUUGUAGAAACUGACCCCUCUCCCAAGUCUUAUGUUUGUCAGAAUUGCAUGCCUAUUUCAAUCGAAGAAAAGUGAUCUGAUCUCUUCAGAUGAAGGUGGGACUUGGAGAUGCUGCUGCCUAGAGUUAACUUGCCAGAGAAAGGAUAAGCAUUCGGGAAGUGCCAGGAUGGGGUAUCAGCUGAACAAUGGCAGGAUCCCUUCUGCCAGUGGGCUGGCUCAGGGAGUAAACCUCCCCGGAAGGAAUUUUGUUUCUCUCUAGAAUCAAAGUGGGCAAAAUGAUCACCUUAUUCGCCUGGAGUGAACCAGGUUGAAACUGAGAAGGCAGACAUGGGUGAUAAGCCAGAUGAAGUCAUAUGUUAUAACUAAGCUAUGUACCUGUAACUUGCCUGGUAGUUUUUUCAUUCUCUCUAAACAGGUCAUAAUAAGUGUUAGUCUGUGAUCCACUAUGGAGAGAGAUUUCUGGAAAGAAUAGAGGCAGUGGUAGAGGGUCCAAGGUUGUUAUUUAAGGAGAUGAAUGUGGGUCAGGUGCCGUGGCUCACACCUGUAAUCCCAGCAUUUUGGGAGGCAGAGGCAGGAGGAUUGCUUAAGGCCAGAGUUCAAGACCAAACUGGCCAAUAUAGUGAGAUCCCCCCCCCAUCUCUACAAAAGAUAGAAAAACUUAGCCAGGCAUGGUGGCAGGUGCUAUAGUCCCUGCCACCAUGGGACUACAGCUCCUGCAGUCCCAGCUACUCAGGAGUUGAGGCGGAAGGAUUGCUUGAGCCCAGAAGUUCGAGGUUGCAGUGAGCCAUGAUCAUGCCACUGCACUCCUCCGUGGGUGACAGAGCGAGACCUGACUCAAUAAUAAUAAUAUUAAUAAUAAUGAUAAUGCAACACAAACUAUCUUUUACCUCUUGAACAAUGAAUGCAGAUGCCAUGACUACAUCUGUUUGUUGGGGACCAGGGAGGCUGCCAGUGAGGAUUCAGGGUGGAAGUAGUGUGUACCCAAUACCUAUUGUGAGAUGUGGCCUGGGGAGCCCUGAGAUUGCCUGGCCAGGCUCACUCACUACCCAGACACCCUCUUCCUGCAUGGCGAGUCCCUCAGCCCCUCCAAGGCUCAAUUCUCAGACAUCGGAGUAAUCCACAUCCUCCAUCUUGAGUUACUCCUCACAAGGCCUGCAAGUUUUCCUAGGAGGAAGGGAAGACAGGGUUGAACCCACACAAUUCUAGAAUCUAGAAUUUGGAGGAUUUCUAAACCAUUUCUGUAAGUCAGCCCUUGAGAACUUGUAGAUUUUCUCAUCAUUUGCAGCAUGAGAGUCUGGAGUAGACUGUUUGGAUUUGACUCUUGGUUCCUUGGGCAAGUUACUUAACCUCUCAGCUGUGUGUCAGUUUCCUUAUCUAAAAAGUGUGGUUAAUAAUAACUGACCUCUCAGAGGUAUUGUGAGGUUACUGUGAUGAUUAAAUUAGUUGAUUCAUAUAAAAAAAAAAAAAAA
rnacentral:lncRNA from 1 species